rnacentral:rRNA from 1 species
CACAUGCAAGUUGAGCGCUGAAGGUUGGUACUUGUACCAACUGGAUGAGCAGCGAACGGGUGAGUAACGCGUGGGGAAUCUGCCUUUGAGCGGGGGACAACAUUUGGAAACGAAUGCUAAUACCGCAUAAAAACUUUAAACACAAGUUUUAAGUUUGAAAGAUGCAAUUGCAUCACUCAAAGAUGAUCCCGCGUUGUAUUAGCUAGUUGGUGAGGUAAAGGCUCACCAAGGCGAUGAUACAUAGCCGACCUGAGAGGGUGAUCGGCCACAUUGGGACUGAGACACGGCCCAAACUCCUACGGGAGGCAGCAGUAGGGAAUCUUCGGCAAUGGACGAAAGUCUGACCGAGCAACGCCGCGUGAGUGAAGAAGGUUUUCGGAUCGUAAAACUCUGUUGGUAGAGAAGAACGUUGGUGAGAGUGGAAAGCUCAUCAAGUGACGGUAACUACCCAGAAAGGGACGGCUAACUACGUGCCAGCAGCCGCGGUAAUACGUAGGUCCCGAGCGUUGUCCGGAUUUAUUGGGCGUAAAGCGAGCGCAGGUGGUUUAUUAAGUCUGGUGUAAAAGGCAGUGGCUCAACCAUUGUAUGCAUUGGAAACUGGUAGACUUGAGUGCAGGAGAGGAGAGUGGAAUUCCAUGUGUAGCGGUGAAAUGCGUAGAUAUAUGGAGGAACACCGGUGGCGAAAGCGGCUCUCUGGCCUGUAACUGACA